rnacentral:rRNA from 2 species
ACGAAAGUCUGAUGGAGCAACGCCGCGUGAGUGAAGAAGGGUUUCGGCUCGUAAAACUCUGUUGUUAAAGAAGAACAUAUCUGAGAGUAACUGUUCAGGUAUUGACGGUAUUUAACCAGAAAGCCACGGCUAACUACGUGCCAGCAGCCGCGGUAAUACGUAGGUGGCAAGCGUUGUCCGGAUUUAUUGGGCGUAAAGCGAGCGCAGGCGGUUUUUUAAGUCUGAUGUGAAAGCCUUCGGCUCAACCGAAGAAGUGCAUCGGAAACUGGGAAACUUGAGUGCAGAAGAGGACAGUGGAACUCCAUGUGUAGCGGUGAAAUGCGUAGAUAUAUGGAAGAACACCAGUGGCGAAGGCGGCUGUCUGGUCUGUAACUGACGCUGAGGCUCGAAAGUAUGGGUAGCAAACAGGAUUAGAUACCCUGGUAGUCCAUACCGUAAACGAUGAAUGCUAAGUGUUGGAGGGUUUCCGCCCUUCAGUGCUGCAGCUAACGCAUUAAGCAUUCCGCCUGGGGAGUACGGCCGCAAGGCUGAAACUCAAAGGAAUUGACGGGGGCCCGCACAAGCGGUGGAGCAUGUGGUUUAAUUCGAAGCUACGCGAAGAACCUUACCAGGUCUUGACAUACUAUGCAAAUCUAAGAGAUUAGACGUUCCCUUCGGGGACAUGGAUACAGGUGGUGCAUGGUUGUCGUCAGCUCGUGUCGUGAGAUGUUGGGUUAAGUCCCGCAACGAGCGCAACCCUUAUUAUCAGUUGCCAGCAUUAAGUUGGGCACUCUGGUGAGACUGCCGGUGACAAACCGGAGGAAGGUGGGGGAUGACGUCAAAUCAUCAUGCCCCUUAUGACCUGGGCUACACACGUGCUACAAUGGAUGGUACAACGAGUUGCGAACUCGCGAGAGUAAGCUAAUCUCUUAAAGCCAUUCUCAGUUCGGAUUGUAGGCUGCAACUCGCCUACAUGAAGUCGGAAUCGCUAGUAU